rnacentral:rRNA from 1 species
GACGAACGCUGGCGGCGUGCUUAACACAUGCAAGUCGAACGGAAAGGCCCUGCUUUUGGGGGGUGCUCGAGUGGAGAACGGGUGAGUAACACGUGAGUAACCUGCAAUUGACUUUGGGAUAACUUCAGGAAACUGGGGCUAAUACCGGAUAGGAGCUACUGCUGCAUGGUGGGGGUUGGAAAGUUUCGGCGGUUGGGGAUGGACUCGCGGCUUAUCAGCUUGUUGGUGGGGUAGUGGAUUACCAAGGCUUUGAAGGGUAGCCGGCCUGAGAGGGUGACCGGCCACAUUGGGACUGAGAUACGGCCCAGACUCCUACGGGAGGCAGCAGUGGGGAAUAUUGCACAAUGGGCGGAAGCCUGAUGCAGCAACGCCGCGUGCGGGAUGACGGCCUUCGGUUUGUAAACCACUUUCGCCUGUGACGAAGCGUGAGUGACGGUAAUGGGUAAAGAAGCUCCGGCUAACUACGUG